rnacentral:siRNA from 1 species
UGGAGAAAGGAAUAAGCAAAGC